GAAGGCAGAGCCAACCCAGGGGAGCUCAGGUGUAUGCAAUGCACCUGAGUGACUGGAAGGGGUGGGGGCCAGGACACACCACUUCCCAGUUUUCAUUUAAGAGUUGGCAGUGGGGGUGAAGGUAUCUCAUUGAGAGAUCUCUGUACACCUGUGGGUCUUGUGGGCUUUCUAAAGGGAGCCGAGAGAUCUUGCAGAGGAGGAAAGAAGUAACCAUCCAUGUUAACCUCAGCAGAGUCCAAGUUUUGCAUUUUUGGACUAUGACACUCUAACAACAGUCAUGAUUGGCUGCCUCAUCACCUGAACUUCAAGAUGUGAAUUUCUUUCUAUUACGUUUUGGGGGGUGUAUGUUAUUUUUAUAAUAAGAGAUGAUCAUGUUUCUGUCAGAAAUCUGUGGCUUUUUAUUGUGAAGUCUAGAACUUCUGUGCAGUGAGAUUAUUUUAGAGGUCCAAGCGGUACUGCGAACAGCUCAUUUAAUGUGGCUGGUAAAGGGCAAAUUUCUGGCCUGCUCAACACUGAGGGGAAUUUAAGGGCACCUAAAAUUAUCACUGUCUUCACCUCCAGCUGUUUGUGCUCAGGGCUUCAAGAAAACAGCCUUGCUUCAAAGUGGCUAGAGCCUGAUGAAGAUUUUGUUGUGACAUCUUCUUGAGAGUACCUGUUCGAUCUGUGAGAGCACAUGUUAUUCUCCAAGCACAGGAAGGCAGCUAUUGAGUGAGAAAGAACAUAUUAUGUUGUUGUUGCUGUAUUUUUGUUUGUAUGUUUUAGUAAGCCAAUUCAUCUUCACAAAAAUUAAAAGCCCAGAGAGGCAGCUGCUCAGCUGUGUUGAGGCAGGGCAGCUUCACUCUUUGAGGAUGUGUAAAAUUUAACAUAGCUUUCCAAGUUCUACCAGCCCUUCACUAUCACAGACUGUGGUGCUCAAGUAUGGGCCUACAGGAAUUAAACCGCAUCUCACUGUCCUACAUGUGAGAGCAAGUUGUGACUCUAAUAUCUUAAGAGCCAGCUGAAGAGAAGACAUUAGUGUAUACGAAAAAUUGACACCAAAAAUAGGGAACUGGGGGGGAGAGGGGAAGUCUUAUGAUGCAUACUUGAAAUGUUUAUGCUAGAAGGAUACAGCACUAGGUGAUGUAACAGUGAAGCGGAAAGAAAAUAAACAGAAGGGACCAACAACUUUUUGCAUGCCUCUAAAAGCCUUAAAUGACAUCUGCUAAAUGACAGUGCUACUCAAUUUGCAAAGCCUUAAUUCUAACUGGAACAAAGAGCGAAAAAGACAUGCAUGUAUGUAGAAUGAAUGGAUAAUUUUUUUGUGUGCUUUAUAGAGGUGAAGUGUGGGACUGUGGAAGGAGUGACAUUGGUAAAGGAACUAACUUUGAAGUGAUACAGAAAAAUGAACAAGAGAGGAAAAUAAAGGGAAUUGGAAGAAAUGGAGCAAGAAGAACAUUAUUUUGUGUAAAUUAAAUUUAAACAAAAAAGGAUGACAUUGGCUCAGAUCUUGUCAUACUAAGGUGUUUUAAGGCCAGCAGUAAUAAGAGAA